ensembl:misc_RNA Metazoa_SRP Metazoan signal recognition particle RNA
GCCAGGUGAGGUGGGGUGUGCCUGUAGUCCCAGCUACUCCGGAGGCUGAGGCAGGAGGAUCGCUUGACCCCACGAGUUCUGGGCUGUAGUAUGCUAUGCUGAUGGGGUGUCUGCACUAAGUUCAGUAUCAAUAUGGUGACCUCCCAGAAGUGGGGGACCACCAUGUUGCCUAAGGAGGAGUGAACCAGCCCAGAUCAGAAAUGGAGCAGGUCAGAGAGAUCCAAGAUGACUGAAUAGGAACAGUUCUGGAGUGCAGUUCCCAGAGUGAAUGCAGAGGGUGAGUGAUCACUGCAUUU